rnacentral:rRNA from 1 species
UGGGGAAUAUUGGACAAUGGGGGCAACCCUGAUCCAGCAAUGCCGCGUGUGUGAAGAAGGUCUUCGGAUUGUAAAGCACUUUCGACGGGGACGAUGAUGACGGUACCCGUAGAAGAAGCCCCGGCUAACUUCGUGCCAGCAGCCGCGGUAAUACGAAGGGGGCUAGCGUUGCUCGGAAUGACUGGGCGUAAAGGGCGUGUAGGCGGUUUGUACAGUCAGAUGUGAAAUCCCCGGGCUUAACCUGGGAGCUGCAUUUGAUACGUGCAGACUAGAGUGUGAGAGAGGGUUGUGGAAUUCCCAGUGUAUGAGGUGAAAUUCGUAGAUAUUGGGAAGAACACCGGUGGCGAAGGCGGCAACCCUGGCUCAUUACUAC